rnacentral:rRNA from 1 species
GAUGAACGCUGGCGGCGUGCCUAAUACAUGCAAGUCGAGCGAACAGACGAGGAGCUUGCUCCUCUGACGUUAGCGGCGGACGGGUGAGUAACACGUUGAUAACCUACCUAUAAGACUGGGAUAACUUCGGGAAACCGGAGCUAAUACCGGAUAAUAUAUUGAACCGCAUGGUUCAAUAGUGAAAGACGGUUUUGCUGUCACUUAUCGAUGGAUCCGCGCCGCAUUAGCUAGUUGGUAAGGUAACGGCUUACCAAGGCAACGAUGCGUAGCCGACCUGAGAGGGUGAUCGGCCACACUGGAACUGAGACACGGUCCAGACUCCUACGGGAGGCAGCAGUAGGGAAUCUUCCGCAAUGGGCGAAAGCCUGACGGAGCAACGCCGCGUGAGUGAUGAAGGUCUUCGGAUCGUAAAACUCUGUUAUUAGGGAAGAACAAAUGUGUAAGUAACUAUGCACGUCUUGACGGUACCUAAUCAGAAAGCCACGGCUAACUACGUG